CGGUCCGCGCUUUCGCAGCAAAGGGAUAUUUCAGAUUCCGGACUGCUGGCCUCUUAAUUGGCCUUCACUUUAAUGUUUGGUGGAAUUUUCCUAUCUUGAUUUAGGGAAACGAGGUUCUGGCAGAGUUUGUCCCCAACUUUAAAUUCAUUCAAGUGAUACUUAAUUUCUGCAGUGUGCCAAUCAUUGUGUUUUGGCUUGUGCAUUCAUCUUGGAUUCAGAAGCAGAAUUCAACUAGAACCACAGCGGUUAAAAGUCAAAGAUCCUGUCGCGUUCUUAAUGUAGGAAUGUGUCAAAGCAGUGCCACACAAUUUUCUGCAACUUCAGGGAUAUUUGCCUUAAUGAGAAGUUACAACAUUAGGUUUUCUGUGUUUGCAGAAUUGUCAAUAGAGCUGAGUUCAAGAUCAAAUGAUGGGAUGGAGGCUCGAGUGAUCUCCAAGAAGCUUAAGUACUUUGUAAAGAGUCAUAUGAAGACAGAGAAGAUUAGUAUUACUGUUUACAAUACUGUAGCAUCUCAAGGCCUUCAGUUAGAAACAAACGUCCAGGGAUCAUAAUGUGAGACAACUGAGAGAAGCAAAGACAAUUGAAAUGACUGACUAAAUAUCAAGUACUGUGUCAAAGACUCAAGCUGGUCUAAGAACAUGCACAUUUGAAGACUUGCCCAUUUCAACAUUUACUGCUAAGAAGCACCCCACAUAAUUUAAAAAGACAACAUCAGAAACAAAACAAAAUCUUUGUUGUAGAAAACAACUCAAGUCCUUAAGAGCUUGCUAGUUAUACUCCACUCAUUUAAGGGUUUGGGGCAGGUCUAUCAGUUCUGGUGGGCUGGUACAUUUUACUGUCAAAUGAACAAAAGUGUUUUUCCCCCUUUCUUUCUUUUUUCUUUUUUUUUUUUUUUUUUUUUUUUUUUUUGUCUUUUUCCUUUUUAUCGGUACCAGGGAUUGAACUCAUGACUGCCUGCUUGCGAGGCAGGCGCUUAUACGGCUGAGCUAAAUCCCCAGCCCCACCCCCUUUCUUUCUUUCUUCCCUAAAUUUCUCAACAAGGACUUGAAGACGUCUAACCACUCUUCCCUGCCAGUCUUCACCCUAUACCUUUUCAGCAUUCCUCUUCACCAAGGCUAGGGUGGUGGGAGCUGCUCAGAGUGCAGAUCAUAAAGGGCUGUACUGCCUAUAGAGAAUUUUAAAACAGUAACAAAACUGGCCAAAAGUCUGUCUGCCUUUAGUUAUUAUUAAGCAUUGGUAUUUCUGAAUGAUAUCACUGAUAUUCCUUAUUACCAGGACUGAUUGCUCCUACCACCUCCUCUUUCUUGACUCUACCCUCAUGUCAUUCACUCCCCUUUACCUGUUGUUUUAAAGACCCUCAGGUUCUCUGUGGUGUCUACAGGGCAGGGCACCAGUAGACAUGCUAAGAAUUCUUAAUCAACAACUAGCCACUCCCUUGAACUAAGAUAUGAAACAUGCAAAUGAGGAGGAAAUAAAGCUUCCUGCCUUCCCCACCCCCAGCACACUCAUUAAGACCCUGCCCUACAUUCACAAAUAGUGUCUGCCUCUUAAGAAGUCCUCUGAAGAUGGCACCCCUUAUUUUGUUACUAAUCUAGAAAUAGUAUUUCCAGCUUCUUAGAAGAGGAUCACAAAAGCAGGGUGUUCAUGUAGAAGACACUAGACACUAAGAAAAACUGCUUCACCAAUGCACAGGUGCAUUAUCUGGGAAGCAGUUAUGGUUGGUAUACAUUUUCCAAGUAUUUGCUGGACUGGUCUUUGCUAUGCAUGUUUAUCAGGAUACUGCCUAAAAUUCUGUUUCAGGCAUGCAUAGAUCAUUCCUCUCUACAUAUUGGUUAUUGGAGUUUUGCCAAUGCUGUUUCCCCAUUGAUUUUGGUGUGAUGAGAACUUUGCUUAUUUUUGAUGUUGCAAAUAGGAUAGACUCUAUUGAGAUUGACCAAACAAAAAUUCAGAAAUAAUGUAGGGCUGAGGUGUAGCUAAGUGGUAGAGAACAUGCUUAUCAUGAGUGAGGGGCUGGGUUGUUAGUGGUUGUUUGUAAAAUAGAAGUUUCCAUUACCAUGUUCAAGAAGUAGAAAGACAAGUCUAUGGCUAAAUGGGGAUACAAUUUCUGCAUGCAAAGUAACAUUGAGACAAUAUGGCAGCUAGAUAUGGGAUAACUGAAGUCCUACUUUUAAAAUUGAGGCAUAUAAAAAAGAUAAGGUCAAGACAUUUGUAGGUAAAUGGAUGCACCUUGAGAUCACACUAUUAAGGUAAAUAAAUCAGACACGUGUAAAUAUCACAUUGUUUCUCUGGUAUGAGAAACUCAAAGUGUACAUAAGAACCAAAAUAUAUAAUAGCUAUUGUGAAAUAGGAAAAAUAAUUUCAAAUGAGAAGAGGAACAAGGACGGGGGAAGGGGGAAGAGGAAAGGAAAAAAGAGAAAAGUGAGGAAAAAAUGGAAAUAAAAUUUUUGUAAAUAAGAAGAGGAAGAAGGGUUGAGGGGAAAGGAGGGCGAUAUUAAACAAAGAAGUAAGAUGUGUCCAGUACAGGUGCAAAUUCCCUAUGAUGAGUGUUAUCAUUUUAUAUAUAUAUAUAUAUAUAUAUAUAUAUAUAUAUAAAAUGUAGCGACAAAAAUGUGAAAAGAAAUAAAAUUGAGGCAUGACAUAUGUGAUAAUUAAAUAUAUCUAAAAUAUAGAGUGAACCAUAUUUGUAUACAAUUGUUUAACAUUCACUCAGAUCUGGCACCUCUGAAAUCUUCCUCAUGCCCCUCCCUGGUCAGUGUGCCUGCAGAUAUAAUUAGUAUUCAGAUGAAGUUACCUUUUUAUAUUAAUGAUUUCCAAUAGUUGUGUUUUACCCAACAGAGAGAUAAGAAUCACUACCGUGGGGGUUGGUGGCUCCUAGGGUAGCUCAUUUUUAGCCCUGCUAGCAUUUGGGGCUAUCCUGGGACUGUUAGGGAUUUCAUCUAAGUCUCCUAUGGUACUUGUUGGUAGGUAUCUACUUUUUGCUUCCUGUGAUCAGUCCAGUCAUAUAUGAUAAGGAAUACACCCAGAUGGAACUACUGCAGAAAUGCUUUCAGUGAAACAGCAGAGAAGAGAAGGCAAAACUGCACCUAACCACACUAUCUCCCCACAUAAUAGCCCAGACGAAGUGACAGGGUUUCUAUUUCAGCUUUAUUUUUUAGCCUAUGGUAAUUUUACUUAGCUAAUGAACAUUAAUAUUAAUGCGUAAUCAACAUGGUAAGGUUAACAAUGGAGUACCCAAGACAACAAACCAUAUUUCUGUAUCUUUGGUUAUUAUUCAUACCUUCAACACAGUGGGCACUCAAAAAAUACUUGGACUAAACUGUGACUGGUUUUGAAAUUAGUAUUAGAAAUGUAAAGGAGCUACUAACUAACAUGCCACAGUCUUUUUCUCUUGCUUUUUUCUCAGGUUGUCUGCCCCUUCUUAUCCAUCUAUCAAUGUGGUGCUCAAGUUGGUAGUAGUUGUUUACUCCCUCAGAAAAAAAUCAAUUAACACGACUAUUUAUUGAUCCCUUUCUGUGUGCAUGGCACUGUGUGCAAAGUACUGUGAAGGGAACUGGAGAAGUACAAAUAAAUAUGCCCUCUGGAGCUCCUAUCUCAGUCGCUGGGAAUAUUUUUCUGGCUUGAAAAUAGCGCUUUGGUUCAAGCACAGAGUGUGGAGCCUAAAUGCAAUGCUUGAGCCAGCCAUUUACUAACCGAGUGUCUCUGGGCAAGUUACUUAACCUCUUUGUAACACAGUUUUGUUAUCUGUAAACUGACGGUGAUGAAAAUAACUGCCUUGUGUGGUUAAUAUGAAAUGGCUCAGUUAAUAUGUGUGAAGAACUUAAAGAAGAUCCUGGAUCAUAAUGUACACUAUUGGAGAGUUUGCUCAUUUUUUUCACUCUCAAAGUUAAAGCAGGCCCAUGAACUCAAUAUAUGCCAAGAACAGAUUGAAAUGUGUCAUGCAGGACAAUACUUAUUUGUAAUACUCAGCAUAACUUUACUGUAAAAUAUUUUGCAGCCAACUACAUGUGAAAUUUAUGAACUUGGAAAGCAAGCAGAAUAAAACUAUGUAAUGAGUUUAGGCUUAUGACACCCAGGAAUGUGGUAAGAAUUCAGGCUCCACCACUCACUAACAAUGUGCCCAGGAGAAAGUUAGGUGACCUGUCUGAGACUCUGUUCCUUCAUCUGGAAAUAGAAGAAUAAUAUAUACUUCAUAAAAUUAUUGUGAGGAUUAAAUGAGUUCCUACAUUUGAAUCACUUGGCACAGAAUCUGGCACAUAAUAUGUGUUCAUUAAGUGUUACUUCUGUUUUAGCCUAAAUUGUAAAAAGUACAUGAGUUAGUAACUAUAAAGCAUUUAUCCCAGUGUCUGGCAAAUAGCAAGAAUUCAAUAAAUGAUGCUUUUCUUCUUCUUUUC